AUUGAACGCUGGCGGCAGGCCUAACACAUGCAAGUCGAACGGCAGCGGGGGGUAGCUUGCUACCCCGCCGGCGAGUGGCGGACGGGUGAGUAAUGCCUGGGGAGCUGCCCAAUCGAGGGGGAUACCAGUUGGAAACGACUGCUAAUACCGCAUACGCCCUGAGGGGGAAAGGUGGGGAUCUUCGGACCUACCGCGAUUGGAUGCACCCAGGUGGGAUUAGCUAGUUGGUGAGGUAACGGCUCACCAAGGCGACGAUCUCUAGCUGGCCUGAGAGGAUGACCAGCCACACUGGAACUGAGACACGGUCCAGACUCCUACGGGAGGCAGCAGUGGGGAAUAUUGCACAAUGGGGGAAACGCUGAUGCAGCCAUGCCGCGUGUGUGAAGAAGGCCUUAGGGUUGUAAAGCACUUUCAGUGGGGAGGAAAGGGUGGAAGCUAAUACCUUUCAUCUGUGACGUUACCCACAGAAGAAGCACCGGCUAACUCCGUGCCAGCCGCCGCCGUAA
rnacentral:rRNA from 1 species